rnacentral:lncRNA from 1 species
AUAGACUCUUAAUUAAGCUAGCGAUAUCUGGCCUGCAUCUCACUGUACCACAUCCGUGUCUGUGGUGGAAGGUGGCUGAGCUACAGGGUUUGGUAGAUGGGAUGCAGUUUAUGUCAGAAUUGACUUUUCGUAGCAGGUGUGUUUGUCAGACCAUGAUGUGACGUAUUUUCUCGGGAAAAUGUCUGCAGAGUCUAAACAGUUUUGUUUUGAUCUACCACACCCACAACACUGUCUGAAGGUAACCCAGCACUGACUGUCUGAAGGUAACCCAGUACUGGCUGUCUGAAGGUAACCCAGUACUGACUGUCUGAAGGUAACCCAGUACUGGCUGUCUGAAGGUAACCCAGUACUGACUGUCUGAAGGUAACCCAGUACUGACUGUCUGAAGGUAACCCAGUACAGGCUGUCUGAAGGUGACCCAGUACAGGCUGUCUGAAGGUAACCCAGUACAGGCUGUCUGAAGGUAACCCAGUACUGACUGUCUGAAGGUAACCCAGUACUGACUGUCUGAAGGUGACCCAGUACUGACUGUCUGAAGGUAACCCAGUACUGACUGUCUGAAGGUAACCCAGUACUGGCUGUCUGAAGGUAACCCAGUACAGACUGUCUGAAGGUGACCCAGUACAGGCUGUCUGAAGGUAACCCAGUACAGGCUGUCUGAAGGUAACCCAGUACAGGCUGUCUGAAGGUAACCCAGUACAGGCUGUCUGAAGGUGACCCAGUACAGGCUGUCUGAAGGUGACCCAGUACAGACUGUCUGAAGGUAACCCAGUACUGACUGUCUGAAGGUGACCCAGUACUGACUGUCUGAAGGUAACCCAGUACUGACUGUCUGAAGGUAACCCAGUACUGGCUGUCUGAAGGUAACCCAGUACAGACUGUCUGAAGGUGACCCAGUACAGGCUGUCUGAAGGUAACCCAGUACAGGCUGUCUGAAGGUAACCCAGUACUGACUGUCUGAAGGUAACCCAGUACUGACUGUCUGAAGGUAACCCAGUAAUGACUGUCUGAAGGUAACCCAGAACUGACUGUCUGAAGGUAACCCAGUACUGGCUGUCUGAAGGUAACCCAGUACUGGCUGUCUGAAGGUAACCCAGUACUGGCUGUCUGAAGGUAACCCAGUACUGGCUGUCUGAAGGUAACCCAGUACUGGCUGUCUGAAGGUAACUCAGUACUGGCUGUCUGAAGGUAACUCAGUACUGGCUGUCUGAAGGUAACCCAGUACUGGCUGUCUGAAGGUAACCCAGUACUGGCUGUCUGAAGGUGACCCAGUACUGGCUGUCUGAAGGUGACCCAGUACUGACUGUCUGAAGAUGACCCAGUACUGGCUGUCUGAAGGUGACCCAGUACUGACUGUCUGAAGGUGACCCAGUACUGACUGUCUGAAGGUGACCCAGUACUGACUGUCUGAAGGUGACCCAGUACUGACUGUCUGAAGGUAACCCAGUACUGGGCCGGAAAAUGAAUGGAAGUGAAUAGGUCAUUUCCACAUCAAAGGGUCAUUCCACUGUAAAACAAUUAUAAAUAAAUCCUGAGCUUUCUUACAGCGCUCAGAUAUAAGACAGACACCUCGAAACAUACUUUAAAAAAAAAAUGAAAUGUUGUUGACUAGCUGUUUGACCAUGUUUAGACACAUCUCAGAAUGUCCUCUCCUUUCGGGUGUCGUUAAAAAGGUCCUUGUUCGUUUGUUGAAUUUUCUCAGUCGAAUGAAAAAGCAUUUAGAAAUGUAUUCUAAACUCAGUGUAUUUUUUAAUUAUUGAUUACUAAUAAACAGUAUUUAGCGAUAAGAAA